rnacentral:rRNA from 1 species
UACAGAGGUGGCAAGCGUUGUUCGGAAUUACUGGGCGUAAAGGGCGCGUAGGCGGUCUUGUAAGUCUUGUGUGAAAUCCCUCGGCUUAACUGAGGAACUGCACGGGAUACUGCGAGACUUGAGAUCGGGAGAGGGAAGCGGAAUUCCGGGUGUAGCGGUGAAUGCGUAGAUAUCCGGAGGAACACCGGUGGCGAAGGCGGCUUCCUGGACCGACACUGACGCUGAGGCGCGAAAGCUAGGGGAGCAAACGGG